ACAAAGGUUCCCUUUGGUACCACUUAUUAUAAUAUAAUAAUAAUUUU
rfam:Zea mays cultivar B73 chromosome 7, whole genome shotgun sequence.